rnacentral:rRNA from 1 species
CGGCGGACGGGUGAGUAACACGUGGGUAACCUACCUAUAAGACUGGGAUAACUCCGGGAAACCGGGGCUAAUACCGGAUAAUACAUGAAACCGCAUGGUUUCAUGAUGAAAGACGGUUUUGCUGUCACUUAUAGAUGGACCCGCGGCGUAUUAGCUAGUUGGUGGGGUAACGGCUCACCAAGGCGACGAUCCGUAACUGGUCUGAGAGGAUGAUCAGUCACAUUGGAACUGAGACACGGUCCAG